rnacentral:rRNA from 1 species
AGACGGAGGGAGCAAGCGUUGCUCGGAAUCACUGGGCGUAAAGGGCGUGUAGGCGGGACGGUAAGUCGGGUGUGAAAGCCCUGGGCUCAACCCAGGAAGUGCAUUCGAAACUACCGUUCUUGAGUAUGGCAGAGGAGAGUGGAAUUCCCGGUGUAGCGGUGAAAUGCGUAGAUAUCGGGAAGAACACCAGUGGCGAAGGCGGCUCUCUGGGCCAUAACUGACGCUAAGGAGCGAAAGCUAGGGGAGCGAACGGGAUUAGAAACCCGAGUAGUCC